CUGGUUGAUCCUGCCAGUAGUCAUAUGCUUGUCUCAAAGAUUAAGCCAUGCAUGUCUAAGUACAUACUUUUGCACGGUGAAACCGCGAAUGGCUCAUUAAAUCAGUUAUGGUUUCUUAGAUCGUUUCUUUUACAUGGAUAACUGUGGUAAUUCUAGAGCUAAUACAUGCAAAAAGCUCCGACCGUAUGGGAAGAGCGCUUUUAUUAGACCAAAACCAAUGGGGUCGCAAGAUCCCUUUGUUUGGUGACUCUGGAUAACUUUGUGCUGAUCGCAUGGCCUAGAGCCGGCGACGUAUCUUUCUAGUGUCUACCCUAUCAACUUUCGAUGGUAAGCGAUUUGCCUACCAUGGUUGUAACGGGUAACGGGGAAUCAGGGUUCGAUUCCGGAGAGGGAGCAUGAGAAAUGGCUACCACAUCUACGGAAGGCAGCAGGCGCGCAAAUUACCCACUCCUAGAACGGGGAGGUAGUGACGAAAAAUAACAAUACCGGACUCAAAGAGGCUCGGUAAUUGAAAUGAGUACAGUUUAAAACCCUUAACGAGGAUCUAUUGGAGGGCAAGUCUGGUACGCUGGUUGAUCCUGCCAGGAGGGCAAGUCUGGUUGAUCCUGCCAGGAGGGCAAGUCUGGU
rnacentral:rRNA from 1 species